CAGCCGCCGCGGUAAUACCAGCACCUCGAGUGGUCAGGAGGUUUAUUGGGCCUAAAGCAUCCGUAGCCGGCUAUGCAAGUCUCCGGUUAAAUCCAGCUGCUCAACAGAUGGGCUGCCGGAGAUACUACACAGCUAGGGAGCGGGAGAGGUAGACGGUAUUCUGUGGGUAGGGGUAAAAUCCACUGAUCCAUAGAGGACCACCAGUGGCGAAGGCGGUCUACCAGAACGCGUUCGACGGUGAGGGAUGAAAGCUGGGGGAGCAAACCGGAUUAGAUACCCGGGUAGUCCCAGCUGUAAACGAUGCAAACUCGGUGAUGCAUUGGCUUAUGGCCAAUGCAGUGCCGCAGGGAAGCCGUUAAGUUUGCCGCCUGGGAAGUACGGACGCAAGUCUGAAACUUAAAGGAAUUGGCGGGGGAGCACA
rnacentral:rRNA from 1 species